AGGGACCGUUCCGGAAGCCACCUGUGCCUCUCCUCAAUGGGUUUUAAGACUAUUUGGGGAGGGGGCACAUCUUUAUCCGAAAGGAAGGCUCCAACAACACCCUCCCUCUCACCCCCAAGGAGAGAGGAGCUGGGAGCCAGCCUGCAACUCCUAAUGCACGCGCUGGCUCGGGGACGGGGGUGCCCGGCCGGUGGUCCCGACGCCCGCAAACAGGCGUCCAUCACGUCUGAUUGACAAGGGCCCUUUAAAGAGAAGAAAGAGGCUGCGGGUUGCAGGAGAACUCCUCUGAAAUCCCGGAACUAGGCGUGAGACGGUGGGUGGAAGGAGACGACGGGGAAGGGAUGAAGGCGCCCCCGUCCCUAAGCCAGGAGCGGCGUCCCAACUGGCCGAGCCCACAGAUUCUGGGUAGUGGGCUCCGCGCUCCUGUGGCUGCCAUGAGGCUCGGUUUCGGCCGAGCCACUGCCAGACUGUGGCACCUCUGUCCCCAGCGUGCUUAGGAGCGCUGCCAGACUGCCACGCCGCGCUGGACAGUUAGCGACCAGUCCUUACAGCCGCGACAGCCCGCCCGGCCUCCCGUGACCAGCAGGCUGCAAAACAGCCAGAGUCAUUUCUCACUCCGGGGACCCCGAGGACAGCGCCUGCAGGACCGCAGUUGUCAAGGCCCCGAGGGCGCGGCGCUGUCACCUUCAUGCUUAGCUAGCUCCUGAGGCCUGAGUGAAGAUUAAUAGAUGGCACGGCCCCCACCGUCGUCAGGCCAGCGGUGAAGCCGGGCGCACAUUUGACGAGGCCGGCGGUCCCAUGACUGAAGAGCGCUGGCGCGGCAUCCAGGAGGCCUCGGAGCUGCCCGGGUUCCGCUGGUGCCUGGCGCACCUUGCAAAGGCGCUGGUUCCUGUCCAGCACGACCCCGGCCUCCCCUCGACGCAGCUGUCCAGAGCAGGCCGCUGUCCAUGCCUCGCUUUCCCAGGGCUUUCUGGAAGCACUGGCGUUGGAAGCCAGGGCGCACAGAGAACGCACGCGGAUGGCUCCCCUCUCAGCGCGCUGCAGUGGCCGGGCCCCGGCUAGUCCCCCGGCCAUGGCACCAGGGCUGAGCUCCUGACCUGAGCCGAGACUUGGACCACGCGGGUUUCCCGGUCGUGCCUCCUGGACCUCAUUCCCAGGCCUCCGGCGGGGACGCACCUGAGCUAGGGCAGUGGCCGGGAGAGGCCCUGCAGAACUUCUCCAAGGCUGCUUUAUCGUUGUUAUUUCGACUUGGUUUCAUGAAAUCUGCCCCUCUUUCCCCGUUACCGGGAGCCGAGAGCUCCAUCGAGUUCAUCUGCGCCACCAGCCCGUGGCACCUCCGCGUUCAAGGGGGCACCCAGGGUGAGCCGUGAGGAGGAGCCUGGCAGUGAGGGGCGGGGUUCGCUUGGCCAGGAAGGCGCUCGGGCUCGUUCUUCUGAGCCUGGCUCUGCGCAGAGCCCGGCUGAGCGGUGCUUCCUCUGCCGCCGCUCGGCUCGGCUCUUCAAUCGGCUGCACCUGCCUGGCUCUGGGCGCUGGGCUCCAGGUGAGGAGCAGUGUGCUAGACAGCAGCCCCCCACAGCACCCCAGUGCAGAAACCAACAGGAGCCGGUGCAGGCGAGGUUUGCUCAUUCCUGUCCAUUCAUGCACCGACUCAUUCAUUCAUUCAGACCGGAGAAGGAAGCCUCUCCUGGAAACCCAGGCGGGGUGGAGCUGUCCUGGGAGUGGCCUGCACGCCCACCUGUUCCUCCGCCCAGCACUGCCCCCGUCGUCUCCAGCCAACGCAUCCAAGCGAGGGGCCGCCCAGCUCCAAUUAAGUUUGAAUUAAUUCUUGCUGGGUUCCUUUACAAAGCAUUCCGGCUUUAAUUGUCUCACCUAGUUACUGGACUGCGACCCAGAUUUAAGACCUGACACAGGUGAUGGGAAGCGACGGGUUUCCUUUGACUGCGUCCACGCGUCGUCGCAAGAGCGUCGUGCACUUGCUUGUGGGUCUGCCCUUCCAGACUCAGCCUGGAUGCGGCUUCCCUAAAUAAGCAGAAUCCGCACUUGCCCUGCCUCACACGGAGGAUCACAGUGGACUGUCCUUGUGCUCGGAGCCAGGCUGCACUGGUGUUGGAUCAAAUGAGAACAACCUGUGCUUGUUUCUGCAUGACUUUUGUUCCUACCCAAAUUGUGCAGGGGGCUUGUAGGAGAGAGAAAUGCCGACUCCACAGCUGCUAAUUAUAGUGUUCACUUCUAGCUACAUAGCUGCAUGCAAAUAUCAGCCUGUAUAAAUUUGGCAUUGAAAGCACCCCAAGGCUCCAGUCUGGCAGAUGGGUAUUGGAUCACAGCGAAACUUAACAGUACCUGGGAGCUCUGGGGCCACGCAGAGGCUCCGAGCAACAGGAGGGCAUCCGUCUUCCCUCGUCGGAGACGACUGUGGGUUUUAUACAUUGUUCUGGCCUGAACACAUUUGAGAGGUGGUUUGGAAAAAGACUUUGGGCUGAUAGCCAGUUUCCCUUAGUGUUCUGUAGACAGUCCGUAGAUCUUGGAAAGCGGGGCAUCUUUAAAUCACUGUAUUUUGUUUUAUUUUAAGUUGAGGAGAAGUGGCGUGCACUGGGGGAGCGCACAGCCCACCCCGCGGCUGCACGGGGACUCUGGUGGAAGCGGGAGGCAGGUGCUGAAGCCAGCCGCGUAAACCCUGGGCUCAAUUUCCCAUCUUCCCUUCCGUGAGGAGUAUUGCGAAGAUUUCUUGGCCUUAUCCUUUCUUACUUUGCAAAAGAAAAACACUCAUCCAGAAAAUAAGGCGAAAUGAGUGCUUUUCAGAGCCGAGGGGGCGUUCUGGGGAGACCGCGGCCAGGGUGGGCACCCUGCCCGGGCCCUGGCCGCGGGCACACGUAGCAGCGUUCCUUUCAAGACAACCUGGAUUUUUGGAUGCGACACAGGUGAUUCUUUUCUUGUUCGGCUGUUUUAAAAAAGGAGACAAGUGCACAGAUGCAAUUAAAACAAAACGACGAGAGAUUUGCAAGGAAAAGCAGGAGCAAGGGAAGAACACGUUUGCGAAGCAAGAACGCAGCUCCCACCCAGGUGUGCAGCACGGGGGCGGUAGGCGGGGGCUCUCCUUCUCUGCAGCCGCUGUUUCUGGAAUGAAUUCAAUGUCUCCUCCCUUGUAAAUGGACUUAGUGUGUCCCCGGGCCAUGAGCAGUCUGGGUCGGUUUCCAGGUUGUUAUUUCUUUAGGGGAGAAAAAUGAACUUAGGAAAAUGAUACCCACCAGAUUUCCAGAUGUCCAAGAAAAUAUAUUACCCCGUGGCUUUUGAUUCUGUAUUAUUUCCUUGAAAACUUCCUUGCCAUGAACUUGGUAAAGCAAACAUCUCUGGUUUUCCCAAAGUCUUAGGUAAAUGAAUAAAACUGGGCAGAAUAUCAAGUAGCUGUGUUUCAAUUUGUCACAGUUUCCAGUGACGUUUAGAGCGAAUGCGAAGUCCCCGGUGGCCCACGGUGCUGUGCUGAGCCCAGGCCCGGCCACCUCUGCAGGGCCCUGCUCCUGCCUGCCUCUUGCUGCCCCUGUUUCUGCCUCAGGACCUUUGCCUCCUGCUGGGCCCAGGCCUGGGGCUGCUUCCUCCACUCUCCCACCCCUGCUGCUGUCUGGAUCCGGAGGAGACGUCCCUGGCCUUGCCAGGAGGGGCCGGGUCCCAAGCAGAGGGGCCCCCGAUGCUCAGGCGCCCCCUUUGUGUCAUGGUGGCUGUGGAUGCUGGGCCCCGGAUGUCCGCCCUCCCUGGCUGAGCAACACGGGGCAGGCGCUGGCUCUGUUCUGGCCGCCGGGCCCUGGGCCUGAAGCACGGGAGACGUCCAGCCGCGGGCUGAAGGAAGGUCGGAGCAGGACAGGGAGCGGGGACAGGCAGAGGCGCGGGUCUACGCCUGUGCUUCCAGCUGCAGGGCUGGAGUCAGGCGAUGAAGAAGGCCGCGGGGGCGCCGCUCCCCUCUUGCACCCUGCACCAGGCUCCACCCGAGGCCUCGGCCAGUGGUGUCCACGUCCCGGGCUCCCCCACCCCCUUAUUUUCCCAUUGACCAGGUGAGGAAAUCUAGGCCUGGGAGGUGAAGAGAGCCACGUUCAAGGUCAGCUGGCCAGCAGGUGAGAGACGAGGUCCAGGCUGUGCUGGGGGCAGUGGCUCUCCCAGGACUGCAGCCGCCUCUGACUGUGGGCCGACCGUGCCAGAGGCCAGCAGGAAACGCGUCCCUUGUCACGGGCCCGGCUGUGCCUUCAGCGCGUAAUGAUCCUGGUUUCCCAGCUUGCGCGUGGUCUGAGGAAGCCUCGUGCUGGAAGGCACCACGGAGGACGGCACGGUGACAAGAGCAGUGACGGCUGAC